rnacentral:rRNA from 1 species
CACCUCGAUGUCGGCUCAUCGCAUCCUGGGGCUGUAGUCGGUCCCAAGGGUUGGGCUGUUCGCCCAUUAAAGCGGUACGCGAGCUGGGUUCAGAACGUCGUGAGACAGUUCGGUCCCUAUCCGUCGUGGGCGUAGGAAAUUUGAGAGGAGCUGUCCUUAGUACGAGAGGACCGGGAUGGACGCACCGCUGGUGUACCAGUUGUUCUGCCAAGGGCAUAGCUGGGUAGCUAUGUGCGGAAGGGAUAAGUGCUGAAAGCAUCUAAGCAUGAAGCCCCCCUCAAGAUGAGAUUUCCCAUAGCGUAAGCUAGUAAGAUCCCUGAAAGAUGAUCAGGUUGAUAGGUUCGAGGUGGAAGCAUGGUGACAUGUGGAGCUGACGAAUACUAAUAGAUCGAGGACUUAACCAU